UACAGGGGGUGCAAACGUUGCUCGGAAUCACUGGGCGUAAAGCGCACGUAGGCGGAUCUUUAAGUCAGGGGUGAAAUCCUGGAGCUCAACUCCAGAACUGCCUUUGAUACUGGGGGAUCUCGAGUCCGGAAGAGGUGAGUGGAACUCCGAGUGUAGAGGUGAAAUUCGUAGAUAUUCGGAAGAACACCAGUGGCGAAGGCGGCUCACUGGUCCGGUACUGACGCUGAGGUGCGAAAGCGUGGGGAGCAAACAGG
rnacentral:rRNA from 1 species